rnacentral:rRNA from 1 species
GACGGGGGGUCCUAGCGUUGUUCGGAAUCAUUGGGCGUAAAGCGUGUGCAGGCGGUUUGGCAAGUUGGAUGUGGAAGCCCCGGGCUCAACUCGGGAAGUGCAUUCAAAACUCCCAAACUUGAGUAAGGAAGAGGGUCGUGGAAUUCCCGGUGUAGCGGUGAAAUGCGUAGAUAUCUGGAGGAACACCGGUGGCGAAGGCGGCAUCCUGGACCGGCAUUGACGCUGAGGAGCGAAAGCCAGGGGAGCAAACGGG